GCAAACAACUGCAGCUGCUGCAGGCACAAAACAAAGAGGAAGUAGAAGGAAAUUGAACCACAACGUACAGCCAGCAGGAUCUUGCUGAGACGACACCUGGAGUGCUAGGUACAGCUUUGGUCUCUUUAUCCAAGGAAGGAUAUACUAAUGUUGGGUGGAAUGACUAAAUGAAACUGCCAGGUCCACUUCAAGCAUCAAAGACAAUGAUCCUGAAGUAAUGUGCUAAAAUGAAACGUGAGAUUCAGACCUCAGUUUCUAUCUCCACAGUUGCUGCCAGAUCUGCUGAGCUCUGAGGUUCAAUGGAAGCUCCAGAACAAGCCUGCAAAAAGUGUGGAAUUUUCUUUUGUAGAAUGCCUACUCCUUCCAUAAUCAAGGAUUUUGCACAAGAGGGCAGAGUGAUGAUCAGUAACAGACAAAUGGAAGUUAGGAAGUCACCGUAAUGCCGAGUACCCACUGAAGAGAAAUUGAAUCUGAUAAGGCACUCCACGUAAUCUGCUGGACCACAGAUAUUUGCUGAACUGCUGAAAGAGCCUGCACUUAGAGCAAUGGUAUCCACAGUUUGUUGAAGGAUUACUGCCAGAAAUGGGUAUUCUGUGGUGGCAGAAUCAGCAAAGUUAUAGAGCUGAAAUGUGCGGUUAUUGUCUAGGCAGAUCCAAAGACAAUUAGAAGUUAAUUAUUGUUAUUUCUGGAACUUCGCCAGCUACAUGGCCACUCUUCUUGUAUCUUAAGAAUCUCACCAGUUAUCUCAAGGUCAUAGGAAAACAAUAGGAAAAGGUGAUUUCUCUGUUUUUAUGUACAUUUUUCCUUGAGAAAAAGUGGUCGGUUGUGAUUUAUCAACGGUUUCUAUAAAAUGUGCCAGCUGUGAUGUGAUGCUUGCUUUAUGAUGGAUGCUACCAGCAUAUUUACAUAAAAGGCCAGGAAAUGUGUAAAUCUAAUGUCCUGAACUGUUUAAAAGCUUGGCCUACAUGUGUAAGUACAGUGGAAACAUUAUAUGAUAAAAGGUUGAAUUUA